rnacentral:lncRNA from 1 species
GUUUUCCCUUAAACAACCCACAGAGGCCACCAAAGAAGUGCUCACCCCUCUCUGCCCUUACAGGUGAGCCCCUGGAUGAGGACUGGGGUCUUACACACCAGCUACUCAAGCAACUGAAGUGGAGAGAACAAAACAGCACAGCACAGCUCCUAAAAGGAGGGAAAAAAACAGAAGGAAAGAUGGAUAUGUUCAUAUCAUCCUUAAAAUAGGUAGCUUGUCCCUGGCACCUGCUGCUGACCAGCAGAUGUUUCCUGUGCCUCAGGGGUGGACCCGUACAGUCGAAGAUGACUGAAGGCUGAUCUGCAAAGUUCCUGUCUCAGGCGCUGAGUUUAUAAUUAAUAAUCACUCCUGUGUACCCAGCCCCACUGAACUCAGCUAGAGACCUCUCUGUUUGGAUGAUUCGAUCUAGGGAGCUACGGAUGAAGAGUCCCUUCCUUUCUGCAGCAUGGCAGCCUAUGCAAAGGGCUUUGGAAUAAAGAAAGUAUCAGUGCUUACUGACACCAGCUUGGAGUCUCAAGCCUGGUUAGUGGCGAGUACCAUAAUCUCACCUCAAAGAAAGACCAGCAUGCUGAAGGGAGCCAAGUGUAAUCACCACCAGAGGAAAUGAGACAAUUUGGCAGCAGCGUCAGCAGGGGAGCCAACUGGGAUGUGUGUAAAGUGUAAGAAUAUCUGUGCUCACUAUGUAUGCACAAAGGUUUUGAUUUGCAUAAAAACGGUGCCGAACUGGAGCGAAAACAAAGAAAGAGUGUAUAGGUAGUCACCUACCCCAGCACCCUGUGUCUGGCUGCUGAAAAGGUUUUGGUUUCACGGCAGAAGCACAAAUAAAGCAUGAAGCUAAAUAAUUAAAGCCUGGCA